CCUCUGAUAGCUCAGUUGGUAGAGCGGUGGACUGUAGUGGCAUUGACGCGGACAUCCAUAGGUCGCUGGUUCAAAUCCAGCUCAGAGGA
rnacentral:tRNA from 1 species